CAGCCGCCGCGGUAAUACGAAGGGGGCUAGCGUUGCUCGGAAUUACUGGGCGUAAAGGGAGCGUAGGCGGACAUUUAAGUCAGGGGUGAAAUCCCGGGGCUCAACCUCGGAAUUGCCUUUGAUACUGGGUGUCUUGAGUAUGAGAGAGGUGUGUGGAACUCCGAGUGUAGAGGUGAAAUUCGUAGAUAUUCGGAAGAACACCAGUGGCGAAGGCGACACACUAGCUCAUUACUGACGCUGAGGCUCGAAAGCGUGGGGAGCAAACAGGAUUAGAUACCCGGGUAGUCCCUGUCUCUUAUAC
rnacentral:rRNA from 1 species